AUACAAGGGUAAGAAGAGGAAUCAUGUGGAAGAAGAGUAAACAUCUGAUGGUGUCCUGGGUAGCUGAAACUGUGGAAAGCAAAACCGUGGAUAAGGGGGAACUACUAUACUGAAAAUGUACAAAACAGAGAAGAUUUCAUUGAAGAAGUCUGCUGUUUCUGGAAUGGGAAAUUAAGAUAAAAAUUGAAGCUCUCAUCUUCUAUAACAUCAUUGGUUCUUUUGAAGCACAACUGGAACAGUUAUCGACUGUGAUUCUUGCUGGGACCAAUAACCUUCUACAAAUACCAACAUCAGUUUUUAUGAAAGGCAAAGAGCUGACAGGUUUACAGACUGCACCCUAACAUUAAGCUACCAGGAGAAACUUCCAAGUUACCCUCUUGUUACUUGUGCCCCAGAGGUGAACACUAUAAACUGCUACAGCAUGCAAUUUAGGGAGAGGUUCGUGAAGAAGUGAUUGGGAAAGAGAGCAAGUCUUGGUUGGACAGUGUGUCUGUUUUCAUGCUGCUGAUAAAGACAUACCUGAGACUGGGCAAUUUACAAAAGAAAGAGAUUUCUUGGACUUACAGUUCCACAUGGCCGGGGAGGCCUCACGAUCAUGGCAGAAGGCAAGGAGGAGCAAGUCACAUCUUAUGUGGAUGGCAGCAGGCAAAGAGAGAGCGAGCUUGUGCAAGGAGACUCCCAUUUUUAAAACCAUCAGAUCUCGUGAGACUUAUUCACUAUCAGGAGAACAGCAAGCUAAAUCAGUGUGAGACCAAGGACCCUGGGGCUCCUCCAGUCAUUGCAGCUGUAUCACAACUACCCUGACAGAUUUCUUGCUCAGGGCAAGCCACCUGCCAUGUCUUGAGAACACUCAAGCAGCACAUGGCGAGGAAUGGAGAUGGACAGACAUGGGCCAGCAAGAAACAGGCUUGCCAACAACAGCUUGCGUGAUCCUGAAAGUGGGUCCUCUAGCCCCAUGUGACUGUUGCCCUGGCCAACAACUUAACUGCAACCUCAAGAGAUACCUACCCUGAGUCAGAACCACCCAGUCAAACUACCCCUGGCAUCUUAACUCAGAGUAACUGCCCCGUUGACUGGAGGAUGGCCAUUUGACAACACAUUAUUUCCUGAGGAAACUUUUGACUUCUGGUGACUUGGGCCCCAGGCUGGCUGAAUUUGCCAAGACCCGGCUUUGCCCUUGCAUGUGUGAAAAAUGGCCUCAAGUAUGACCCCAUGGCAAGAUGGAAAGAAACUGUGCUCUUGAAUAGCUUAGAGAUUCAGAGCCCCCCAACCAGCUUGAAACGCCCACCUCAAAACAAUGACAUGAGAAGAAACAAACCUCUAA
rnacentral:lncRNA from 1 species